rnacentral:rRNA from 1 species
AUUGAACGCUGGCGGCGCGCCUAAUACAUGCAAGUCGAGCGAGAAGACGUAGCAAUACGUUUGUAAAGCGGCGAACGGGUGAGGAAUACAUGGGUAACCUACCCUCGAGUGGGGAAUAACUAGCCGAAAGGUUAGCUAAUACCGCGUACGCUCCUUGGACUUCGGUUCAGGGAGGAAAGCGAUACCGUGGGUAUCGCGCUCUUGGAUGGGCUCAUGUCCUAUCAGCUUGUUGGUGAGGAACGGCUCACCAAGGCUUCGACGGGUAGCUGGUCUGAGAGGACGAUCAGCCACACUGGCACUGCGACACGGGCCAGACUCCUACGGGAGGCAGCAGUAAGGAAUAUUGCGCAAUGGGCGAAAGCCUGACGCAGCGACGCCGCGUGGGGGAUGAAGGUCUUCGGAUUGUAAACCCCUUUCGGGAGGGAAGAUGGAACGAGCAAUCGUUCGGACGGUACCUCCAGAAGCAGCCACGGCUAACUUCGUGCCAGCAGCCGCUGUAAU